GACGGGUGAGUAACGCGUGGGAACCUACCCUAAGGUACGGAAUAGCCCAGGGAAACUUGGAGUAAUACCGUAUACGCCCGCAAGGGGAAAGAUUUAUCGCCUUUGGAUGGGCCCGCGUCGGAUUAGCUAGUUGGUGAGGUAAUGGCUCACCAAGGCGACGAUCCGUAGCUGGUUUGAGAGAAUGACCAGCCACACUGGGACUGAGACACGGCCCAGACUCCUACGGGAGGCAGCAGUGGGGAAUCUUGGACAAUGGGGGAAACCCUGAUCCAGCCAUGCCGCGUGAGUGACGAAGGCCUUAGGGUUGUAAAGCUCUUUUGGCGGGGACGAUAAUGACGGUACCCGCAGAAUAAGUCCCGGCUAACUUCGUGCCAGCAGCCGCGGUAAUACGAAGGGGACUAGCGUUGUUCGGAAUUACUGGGCGUAAAGCGCACGUAGGCGGAUUUGUUAGUCAGGGGUGAAAUCCCGGGGCUCAACCUCGGAACUGCCUUUGAUACUGCAAGUCUUGAGUCCGAGAGAGGUGAGUGGAAUUCC
rnacentral:rRNA from 1 species